UACGUAGGGCGCAAGCGUUGUCCGGAAUUAUUGGGCGUAAAGAGCUCGUAGGCGGUUUGUCGCGUCUGCUGUGAAAACCUAAGGCUCAACCUUGGGCUUGCAGUGGGUACGGGCAGACUAGAGUGCGGUAGGGGGUGACUGGAAUUCCUGGUGUAGCGGUGGAAUGCGCAGAUAUCAGGAGGAACACCGAUGGCGAAGGCAGGUCACUGGGCCGCAACUGACGCUGGAG
rnacentral:rRNA from 1 species